GGAAUGACCCCUCGGGGCCCAUCCUGGGGGAGGAGCAGUGGGCUGACGUGGGGAGAAGCAGCCCCCAACCCUAACCUCCUGUCCUGACCCCCAGGAGGCUCUGAAGUUGGGGCCCUUCCCCCCACGGAGCCAGGCCCGCAGACGGGUCUCAAAUGGUACCUGAACGUCCUGAUCGGGGUCUCGGUGGCCUUCGUCCUGCUGCCCCUCGUCCUCCUCGUCCGACACCGGGGUCAGACCAGACGCAGGAAGUCGGGUGAGUAGGGAACAGGGUGACCCAGA